rnacentral:tRNA from 1 species
GUUGAUUUGGUGUUUCAGCAUUCUAAUUUUUCGUGUUAGAGGUAGUUUAUUUUUUAGUCUAAUCA